AACGAACGCUGGCGGCAGGCUUAACACAUGCAAGUCGAGCGGGGUGAUGGUGCUUGCACUAUCACUUAGCGGCGGACGGGUGAGUAAUGCUUAGGAAUCUGCCUAUUAGUGGGGGACAACAUCUCGAAAGGGAUGCUAAUACCGCAUACGUCCUACGGGAGAAAGCAGGGGAUCACUUGUGACCUUGCGCUAAUAGAUGAGCCUAAGUCGGAUUAGCUAGUUGGUGGGGUAAAGGCCUACCAAGGCGACGAUCUGUAGCGGGUCUGAGAGGAUGAUCCGCCACACUGGGACUGAGACACGGCCCAGACUCCUACGGGAGGCAGCAGUGGGGAAUAUUGGACAAUGGGGGGAACCCUGAUCCAGCCAUGCCGCGUGUGUGAAGAAGGCCUUAUGGUUGUAAAGCACUUUAAGCGAGGAGGAGGCUCUUUUGGUUAAUACCCAAGAUGAGUGGACGUUACUCGCAGAAUAAGCACCGGCUAACUCUGUGCCAGCCGCCGCAGUAA
rnacentral:rRNA from 1 species